GUCCACGCCCUAAACGAUGGAUACUCGACAUCAGCGAUACACUGUUGGUGUCUGAGCGAAAGCAUUAAGUAUCCCACCUGGGAAGUACGACCGCAAGGUUGAAACUCAAAUGAAUUGACGGGGUCGCACAAGCGGUGGAGCAUGUGGUUUAAUUCGAUGAUACGCGAGGAACCUUACCUGGGCUAGAAUGCGGUUUGACCGUAGGUGAAAGCUUAUUUUGUAGCAAUACACAGAUCGUAAGGUGCUGCAUGGCUGUCGU
rnacentral:rRNA from 1 species